GUGGGUAUAGUUGGGUGGUAGAGCACAUGCUUGGUGUGCACAAGGGCCUGGGUUCGAUCCCCAGUGCCUCUG
rnacentral:tRNA from 1 species